UACGGAGGGUGCAAGCGUUAUCCGGAUUCACUGGGUUUAAAGGGUGCGUAGGUGGGUUGGUAAGUCAGUGGUGAAAUCUCUGAGCUUAACUCAGAAACUGCCAUGGAUACUAUUUGUCUUGAAUAUUGUGGAGGUAAGCGGAAUAUGUCAUGUAGCGGUGAAAUGCUUAGAUAUGACAUAGAACACCAAUUGCGAAGGCAGCUUACUACACAGUUAUUGACGCUGAGGCACGAAAGCGUGGGGAUCAAACAGG
rnacentral:rRNA from 1 species